rnacentral:rRNA from 1 species
ACGAACGCUGGCGGCGUGCUUAACACAUGCAAGUCGAACGGUAGAUCCUUUCGGGGAUUGAGAGUGGCGCACGGGUGAGUAAAGAAUAGGAACAUGCCGAAUGGUUUGGGAUAACCACGGGAAACUGUGGCUAAUACCAGAUACGCUAGAGAUAGGAAAGGGGGCCUCUACUUGUAAGCUCUCGCCAAUCGAGUGGCCUAUUUCCCAUUAGCUAGUUGGUAGGGUAAAGGCCUACCAAGGCAACGAUGGGUAGCUGGUCUGAGAGGACGAUCAGCCACACUGGAACUGAGACACGGUCCAGACUCCUACGGGAGGCAGCAGUGGGGAAUAUUGCACAAUGGGGGAAACCCUGAUGCAGCAACGCCGCGUGAGUGAAGAAGGUCUUUGGAUUGUAAAGCUCUUUCGGCUGGGGAGAAGGGUAUUGGGGUUAAUACCCCCGGUAUUUGACGGUACCAGCCUAAGAAGCACUGGCUAAUUCCGU